rnacentral:rRNA from 1 species
AGAGUUUGAUCCUGGCUCAGAAUCAACGCUGGCGGCGUGCCUAACACAUGCAAGUCGAACGCGAAAGGGGCUUCGGCCCUGAGUAGAGUGGCAAACGGGUGAGUAACGCGUGGGUGACCUACCCUUGAGCGGGGGAUAACGUUUCGAAAGGGACGCUAAUACCGCAUGACAUCCUGCCCUUGGACGGGCGGUGAUCAAAGCCGGGGAUCGCAAGACCUGGCACUCGAGGAGGGGCCCGCGUCCGAUUAGCUAGUUGGUGGGGUAAUGGCUCACCAAGGCUCCGAUCGGUAGCCGGCCUGAGAGGGCGGACGGCCACACUGGGACUGAGACACGGCCCAGACUCCUACGGGAGGCAGCAGUGGGGAAUUGUUCGCAAUGGGCGCAAGCCUGACGACGCAACGCCGCGUGGAGGAUGAAGAUCUUCGGAUCGUAAACUCCUGUCGAACGGGACGAACGGCCUGGCCGUGAACAACGGCCGGGAGUGACGGUACCGUGAGAGGAAGCCCCGGCUAACUCCGUGCCAGCAGCCGCGGUAAUACGGGGGGGGCAAGCGUUGUUCGGAAUUACUGGGCGUAAAGGGCUCGUAGGUGGCCGCCUCAGUCCGACGUGAAAUCCCUCGGCUCAACCGGGGAACUGCGUCGGAUACUGGGUGGCUUGAAUCCGGGAGAGGGACGUGGAAUUCCAGGUGUAGCGGUGAAAUGCGUAGAUAUCUGGAGGAACACCGGUGGCGAAGGCGGCGUCCUGACCGGUAUUGACACUGAGGAGCGAAAGCCAGGGGAGCAAACGGGAUUAGAUACCCC